rnacentral:ncRNA from 1 species
UCCAAACCAGUGAAUAAGAGUAGUACCUCUUUCUUUUGCCCUUCAGAGAGCUGCGGAUGGUGAGAGCGCGGCGGGACGGGGAGGAGGGAAUGGACUUAUGAGGGCGGAGCGAACCCCCGGCAAUGGGGUAGUAGUGGCCGACGGGGACCGCACCCGUUAUCCGGGCGGCACGUAUGAUGGUACGUGAAAAGAGCGGGCGCAAUGCGUCAAUUUGGGUGGUACCGCAGGAAUUCAGUCUUGUCCCAUUU